ACGGGAUUGCCUCAGUACGGCGAGUGAGCGGCACAGCUCAAUUUGAAAUCUGGCCCUAGGCCCGAGUUGUAAUUUGCAGAGGAUGCUUUGGGCGCGGUGCCUUCCGAGUUCCCUGGAACGGGACGCCAUAGAGGGUGAGAGCCCCGUCUGGUCGGACACCAAGCCUAUGUAAAGCUCCUUCGACGAGUCGAGUAGUUUGGGAAUGCUGCUCAAAAUGGGAGGUAUAUGUCUUCUAAAGCUAAAUACCGGCCAGAGACCGAUAGCGCACAAGUAGAGUGAUCGAAAGAUGAAAAGCACUUUGAAAAGAGAGUUAAAUAGCACGUGAAAUUGUUGAAAGGGAAGCGUUUAUGACCAGACUUGGCCCGGUUGAUCAUCCAGCGUUCUCGCUGGUGCACUCUGCCGGUCCAGGCCAGCAUCAGUUCGUCGCGGGGGAUAAAGGUUUCGGGAAUGUGGCUCCUCGGAGUGUUAUAGCCCGUUGCGUAAUACCCUGCGGUGGACUGAGGUCCGCGCUCUGCAAGGAUGCUGGCGUAAUGGUCAUCAACGACCCGUCUUGAAACACGGACCAAGGAGUCGUCUUCGUAUGCGAGUGUUCGGGUGUAAAACCCCUACGCGUAAUGAAAGUGAACGGAGGUGGGAGCUUCGGCGCACCAUCGACCGAUCCUGAUGUUCUCGGAUGGAUUUGAGUAAGAGCAUACGGGGCCGGACCCGAAAGAAGGUGAACUAUGCCUGUAUAGGGUGAAGCCAGAGGAAACUCUGGUGGAGGCUCGCAGCGGUCUGACGUGCAAAUCGAUCGUCAAAUAUGGGCAUGGGGGCGAAAGACU
rnacentral:rRNA from 1 species